rnacentral:rRNA from 1 species
GAACCGGGCGAACGUUAUUCGGAAUUACUGGGCUUAAAGGGUGCGUAGGCGGCGUUUCAAGUCGGGUGUGAAAUCCCCCAGCUCAACUGGGGAACUGCGCCCGAAACUGGAGUGCUCGAGGGAGAUAGAGGUGAGCGGAACGAAUGGUGGAGCGGUGAAAUGCGUUGAUAUCAUUCGGAACACCCGUGGCGAAAGCGGCUCACUGGGUCUCUUCUGACGCUGAGGCACGAAAGCUAGGGGAGCGAACGGGAUUAGAUACCCCGGGUAGUCCUAGCUGUAAACGAUGAGCACUAGGUCGGGGAGCCCCUCCCACAGCCUCCCCGAUCGUAGCGAAAGUGUUAAGUGCUCCGCCUGGGGGAGUAUGGUCGCAAGGCUG